UUACGUGGGACGUAAAAGCGCAUGCAGGUUGGUUUGUUAAGUCAGAUGUAGAAAACGGCCCGGGCUCCAAACCGUCGGAAAAUAGCUAUUUAGAAAAACUGGCAGACUAGAGUACUGUAGAGGGGGUAGAAUUUCAGGUGUAGCGGUGAAAAUGCGUAGAGAUCUGAAGGAAUACCGGUGGCGAAGGCGGCCCCUGGACAGAUACUGACACUCAGAUGCGAAAGCGUGGGGAGCAAACAGGAUUAGAUACCCUGGUAG
rnacentral:rRNA from 1 species